UUCAAAAAAAUAUAUAGUUAUGGACCGCUGAGAGACACAAACCUACCUAUAUAUUUGUCUGACACGUCAUAUUUUUACAAGUCAGUCGAAAAAAAAUACUCUUAAAAGAACCGGAUAACAACGAAGCUAACUUUUAUCCUCUGCAGGUUUGUCUUUAAGAAGCUAAUUACGCGGCCCACAAACUCAACAGCGGAAAAAGAAAAGAUGUUGUCGGCAUCACCGAAGAAACGCGUUGCAGGUGAUCAUUCGUAUUCUGAGGUUGAUCAAGAAGAUGAGGACCAAGUAUCUGCCAACCCCAACAAUCCAUCGAGUCAUAUGUCCAGGGAAGAUAGACUGGCAGAGAACAAGAAAAGGUACCAUCUCCUGUGUGACUAUCUACAAAGCGGUAAGAUGCCAAAAGGACUCACCAAGAGAGAAGCUCGCAAUGUACGAAACCAGGCCAAGACUCACAAAUGGGAUGCUGCAAGACAAGAGUUGUUCUACACUGGUUCCAAGUCUAAGUCGAGGAAAAAAGUCAUAACAGAACUGAGUCAAAUAAUGGAUCUCCUUCAACAAUACCAUUCAAACCCGAUGGGAGGACACAGUGGAAUCAACAGCACCCUUGCCAAGAUAUCUCAGUUUUAUAUCUGGAAUGGCAUGAAAGGGGACAUAAUUGAAUAUAUUUCUUGCUGUGAUGGGUGCCAGCGACAUAAAAUUAAACCAAGGCCCCAGAGUUGCACCCAAUCUAUGUAAAAGAGCCAUUGCAGUUGGUCCGAAUGGAUUUAUUUGGUCUAAUGUCCAUGACUACAGAUGGCUACAAAUAUGUACUAGCAUUUACAGAUUACUUUACUAAAUUUGUGGAUUUCUUCCCACUGAGAACUAAAGCAGUCAGCGGAGUAGCCAAAGGGAUAAAGGUUUUUGUGUGUAGAUGGGGUGCACCACAACGGUUACUAUCUGAUCAAGGACAUGAAUUUAUUGCAGCGGUAAAUGAAGAAGUUUGUAAGCAGCUGAACAUAAAGCGGCCCAUCGUCGGUGGUUACCACCCACACGCCAAUCAGCUCAAUGAACAUACAAAUCAAUCUUUAAAGGUCCGACUGACAAAGCUGGUGGAUGAGCACCAGGAUGAUUGGGCCGAAUACCUUGAGGAAAUGGCAUUUUCCAUCAGAACACAGAAACAGACAUCAACUAAGUUCACACCCUUUUCCUAAUGUUCAACCGUCAUGCUCGAUCACCAAUUGAGAUGGAUCCGGUAACGGAUGAUGUUGCACCCAAUCUAACACAUGUAGAUGAGGCUGAACUGGAAGAAAUGGUGUCAGCCUGCGAGGAAAGAGUGCAGUCCACCCAUGAACAGGCACUAAAGAACAUAGAAAUUUGCCAGAAAAAACAGAAGUCCUACAAGGCCCGAAAGUUGAAGGCAGUCAGAACAUUCAAGUUUGAUGUUGGUGACACUGUGCUGCGUCACGUAAUGACAAAAGUCAGGCACAAAGGUCGAAAAAUGGAUCCUCAUUGGAUUGACCCUUACAGGAACAGAACACCACAAAUGAGACCGACUUCAACCCUUUCCUCUGAGUAAUGAGGUGCACCCCAAACCAAGAAAGACCCAUAAACAGUACAAGUGUGACCAGUGUGGGAAUGCUUUCAGCUGGCAUGGAAUCUGAAGUGACAAGUUAUCCGCAAUGAGGAAAAACCACACAUCUGUGAUCACUGUGGGAUUACUUUCAGGCAUUCACAGAGUCUAAAGAAACAUCAGCUCCUCCACAGUGGAGACAAACCGCACACCUGUGACCAUUGUGGGAAAACGUUCAGCUGGUUAUUUACCCUACAACCCUGUUACUCAUUGCGCGGCUCUCGAGCUUUACUUGGCAGCUCGCAAACCUGGCAACGCACCCCACCAACCAUUUGUGAACGCAUGUGCAGCGAUGUCAUAUAAUAGGCUGCUUCGGAUGUGAGAUGCAAAAAUCACAGAUGACAAAAUGGAUUGGUUUGUAAUUAAAAAGGGAAAGAAAAUAGCUGAUGCAGGAGAUGGAAAGACACAGAGAGUUGCAAGAAACAGAGAGGGGAGAGAGCAUGAGGAAGAUCCGCAUGCAGACCCUGAUGAGGGGACAAGCAGCCAAACGGAAAGUCAGAAUACAAAAAGGAAGGUAUGAAGCAUACAAGAUGAGCACAGGAAAUUUCAAGAUAAAUGGACGGAUGAGUUUUUGUUUAUUCUCCAUAACACGACCCCGCUGUGCUUAUUGUGCAAUGAAACCCGUGCCUGCUUUAAAAGGAGUAACUUGGAGAGGCAUUUCAAAACAGCGCACCCACAAUUUAAUGAAAAUUAUCCACCUGGCAGUGAAGUAAGAUUAAAAUAACACAGCUCACUUCACUUGGUGAGCAGCAAAGACUUAUCCACAAGACAAGCUCUGCUGCAGAGCUUUUAACAGAGGCGUCUUUUGAGAUAGCGUGGAUUUUGGCCCGGGACAAAAAAACCUUUCUUGGACUCCGAAACAGUUAAACACUGUUUUUUGGCUUCCACGGAAAUAGUGUUCAGAGACUUCGCCAACAAGGACAAGAUCAUUAAACAAUUAAAAGCACUACAGUUGUCUGAUUCAACAAUAAUGAGGCGGAUGGAAAACAUUGGAAAGGACAUUCGUGACCAGCUGUUGGCUGAUCUGCGUGCCCCACCUUGCUUCAGCAUGGCAGUGGACGAAAGCACUGACAUCACCGAUGUAGCUCAGCUGUGCUUUUGGGUGAGGUUCCCAAAAAAAAAAACUUUUCGAGAGGAAA